UCCGGGCCAAUUCCAAGCAGACCUGCCUGAAA
rnacentral:piRNA from 1 species